ensembl:snoRNA Small nucleolar SNORD12/SNORD106
AAUGUGGUUAAUGAUGCAUAAUCUUUUUUCCCCAUCUUAUCGACCAUGGUGAAACUAUGCUAACCUAAGCCAAACCUGUCUGAAACCAGUGU